ACGACUUGAGAACACAAUUGAAGAGUGUAGGAGAAGAGUGAAGUAUAUAAGAGCACUUGGGAGUUUUUUGACUCAUUGAAAUUUAUAAUCGAUGGAAAUUCACGAAGUGAUACAGAGGAUAAACUGACUCAAAAUACAGAGACUUCAGAGACAGAGCAGCAACAAUCAUCAGAAACUGGAGAAAAUUUCGGUAAAGAAUUAUCAAAAAAGGAACCGGAUUGUUCAAAAAUAAGCCUAAAAAGAAAAAGGAAGGAGUCUAAAGAGGAUGCUGAUUUAGCUAAAGCUAUGACAGUGUUGGAUAUACCUUCAGAUAACUUUCAAAUCUUUGGAGACUAUGUAGCUUCAGAGCUCCGUUUCCUGCCUUCAGAGCAUCUUAAAAAAAAUGAAAAUUAUGAAAGAAAGAGAUGUUUUGCAGAGUUAGGUAAUCAGAACGACUCUGGUCCUUCAACACCAGUUUCUCUCCCUCUUUUAUCUUCUGCUUCCUAUGAGAGAACAAGCUCUUCACAUUCAUUGCACAUAAUGCCACCAUACAAGCAAUAAAUGUACCUAGGGCCUCCUGAAUUGCAGAACAGCACUGAGGAACAAUUCUUGCGAUCGUACAUACAGGGAUUCGAUACAAAUACAUGAGCGAAUGAUAGGAGUCACCUAAAA